AAUCAAGUGCCUUAAGGGUGUUCGGUGGAUGCCUUGGCGCUGAGAGGCGAUGAAGGACGUGCUACGCUGCGAUAAGCCGUGGGGAGCUGCGAAGAAGCUUUGAUCCACGGAUUUCCGAAUGGGGAAACCCACCUUCGAUAGCUGGAACUCCAAGGCCUGUGUCUUGGUGAUCAUUCAGCAAUGUCUGGUUCCAAGCCGCGAGGUUUUGGAUUUCCAGUUAUCAAGUGAAGGUAUAAGACUCCUGAAUACAUAGGGGGUUUUAAGCGAACCCAGGGAACUGAAACAUCUAAGUACCUGGAGGAAAGGACAUCAACAGAGACUCCGUUAGUAGUGGCGAGCGAACGCGGACCAGGCCAGUGGUACAUCAAAGACAACCGGAACCUGUCAGGAAAGCAGGGCCUCAGAGGGUGAUAGCCCCGUACGGGUAAUGCGAUGAUGUAUCCUUGAGUAAGGCGGAACACGUGAAAUUCUGUCUGAACGUGGGGGGACCACCCUCCAAGCCUAAGUACUCCUCAGCGACCGAUAGUGAACCAGUACCGUGAGGGAAAGGUGAAAAGCACCCCGACGAGGGGAGUGAAAUAGACCUGAAACCGGACACCUACAAACAGAUGGAGCCCAAGAUACGUUCUGGGUGACAUCGUACCUUUUGUAUUAUGGGCCAGCGACUUAAUUUAACGAGCAAGCUUAAGCCGAUAGGUGUAUGCGCAGCGAAAGCGAGUCUGAAUAGGGCGUCAAGUUCGUUGUAUUAGACCCGAAACCUAGUGAUCUAGCCAUGAGCAGGUUGAAGGUGAGGUAACACUCACUGGAGGACCGAACGGGUGUCUGUUGAAAAAGACUCCGAUGACUUGUGGUUAGGGGUGAAAGGCCAAUCAAACUGGGAAAUAGCUGGUUCUCCGCGAAAGAUAUUUAGGUAUCGCCUCGGAUGAAUACCUCGGGGGGUAGAGCACUGGAUGGGCUAGGGGGACUUACCGUCUUACCAACCCCAACCAAACUCCGAAUACCCGAGAGUACUAUCCGGGAGUCACACGGCGGGUGCUAACGUCCGUCGUGGAGAGGGAAACAACCCGGACCUACAGCUAAGGCCCCUAAUUCGUGGCUAAGUGGGAAAGGAUGUGGGAAUCCCAAAACAACCAGGAGGUUGGCUUAGAAGCAGCCAUCCUUUAAAGAAAGCGUAACAGCUCACUGGUCUAAAUAAGGGUUCCUGCGCCGAAGAUGUAACGGGGCUCAAGCCACGAGCCGAAGCUUAGGGUGUGAUCCGCAAGGGUCACGCGGUAGCGGAGCGUUCUGUAAGCCUGCGAAGGGCGACUCGUGAGAGCGCCUGGAGGUAUCAGAAGUGCGAAUGCUGGCAUGAGUAACGACAAACACUGUGAAAGACAGUGUCGCCGAAAGUCCAAGGGUUCCUGCGUAAAGUUAAUCUUCGCAGGGUUAGCCGGUCCCUAAGGCGAGGCCGAAAGGCGUAGUCGAUGGGAAUGCAGUGAAUAUUCUGCAGCCAGUGGAUGGUGACGAAUCCCGUAUGUUGUCCGACCUUAUUGGAUUGGUUGGGCCUCGAAGGGGUUCCAGGAAAUAGCCUCCACAUUAGACCGUACCCUAAACCGACACAGGUGGACUGGUAGAGUAUACCAAGGCGCUUGAGAGAACUAUGUUGAAGGAACUCGGCAAUUUACCUCCGUAACUUCGGGAUAAGGGGGCCCAUUGCGUGCGCAAGCACGUCGUGGGGGCACAGACCAGGGGGUGGCAACUGUUUAACAAAAACACAGGGCUCUGCGAAAUCGCAAGAUGACGUAUAGGGUCUGACGCCUGCCCGGUGCCGGAAGGUUAAGAGGAGGAGUGCAAGCUCUGAAUUGAAGCCCCGGUAAACGGCGGCCGUAACUAUAACGGUCCUAAGGUAG
rnacentral:ncRNA from 1 species